GUGGAAUUCCAAGAGUCAAGUGUGCAUCCACCACUCUCUAGUGCCUUGAUUGGGUCAAGUGAGAGUUCUUUGCUUGUUACUCUUGGUGAUCGCCAUCACCUAGACGGUUCGGUGGUGAUUGGAGGCACGAAGACCAGCCGAAGUUCUUGUGGGUGGCUCGUGUCAAGCUUGUGAGCGGUUUUGGGCGAUUCACCGUGACGGAGUGUCGAAGAAUCAGCCCAUAGAGAGCACUUGGUCCUUGCGCAGACCAAGGGGGAGCAAGACCCUUGUGCGGGUGCUCCAACGAGGACUAGUGGAGAGUGGCGAUUCUCCGAUACCUCGGCAAAACAUCGCCGAGCACUUUCUUGCCCUUCUCCUUUACAUUCUAGCAUUUACUUUGUGCAAUUACUUUGAGUUUUUACAUUCCUAGAAUUGCCUUGCUAGAAUAGGAUUGAAACUAGGUUGCAAAACUUUUUAUCCGGUAGCUCUCUAGUCACAUUAGGCACAAGGGGUGAAAUUGGAGCUUAUAGGUUGCUUAAAUUUUUAGAGAAGCCCAAUUCAUCCCCCUCUUGGGCAUCUUGAUCCUUUCAAGGUGAAAUCACGCGGGCCCUGGCGGCCACCACCUGGACUGGCGCCCGCCACCCUCCUAGGCCCCAGUGGGCCCACAGGUGCUGGACUGCCUCUUGGUGAUCAAAUUCUUGUAUAUUUUCGACAUUUUUCCUGCAUACAAAUAAAACUCAUGUACAAGUAGAAUUCCAUUAGUUUAAACUAUAUUUCCUAUCAUCUAUGUCUCUUUUAUCCAUGAAUUGAUGUCUUGUUGAUGGUUAAAAUAUGCAUUUAGUGAGCAUCAACAAUGGGUAUGGAAUUUUUACUAUACUUUAACCAUACAAUAGUUAGCUCAUAAAAAAAUUCACCAUAAUUAGACCAUAGAAACUGCAUAUAUUAAUUAUUCUAAUUAAUUAAAGAAAAACAUAGAUUCAAAGCUAUAUCAAAAAAUUUGUACUAAAGCAUGUCAUAUUAUAUAUUCACUGCAUAGAUCUACUCAUGUGGACUCCAACAAGCUUAGAUUUUUCAUUUUAUGAUUUUUCUAUGAUUUAUUAUGAUUUUUCAAAAAUUCAACACAAAUAAAUAAAAAAGAAAAAGACAAAAUCACCCUACAAAACUGCUCGAAGGGUUAUUUGACCAAUUUUAAAAAGUUUAGGGCUAGAAUAUCUGGGUUUUAUAGUUCGGGGGGCAAAAUUAUCCACCCUAGAUAGUUUGGAGGAAUAUGUAGACUUUUUCCCAAUAAAAAAAAAGAAAAAGACAAAACCUUCAUAGCAAAACUUUAUACUAAAACAUACCAUAUUAUAUAUUUAGUGUAUUGAUUUACUCAUGUAAAGUCCAACAAAAUUAAAUUUCGUAUUUUAUGAUUUUUCUAUAAUUUACUAUUAUUUUUUAAAGAUUUAGUCGAGAUAUUAAAAAAAGAAAAAAGAUAAAACCACUGUCACUAUAUCAAAACUAUCAUAUACUCUUAUAAAGCUAAAGCUCACUAGAUGAAUUCUCUCUUCAUGCAAGGUUUCCACAUCAUUCUCUACUAAGUCUAUGUCAUCCCAUAUUAAUUACAAAAAAUAUCCAUAUCAUCUAUAUCAUGUGAAAUACUUUAAAUAUUUAAUCUAUUAACAUACAAGUCAUCUAUAUAUACUAUUCGUUUGAUCACCUAUGUCUCUAUAAUAUAAUCAAAUAUUCUAUUGUUUCUUCUAUUAGCUUAGUGAUUGUUUACCAGAUCUAAUACAACAAAAUAACACGCAAGUCAAAUUCAUAUAUAUAUAUAUAUAUAUAUAUAUAUAUAUAUAUAUAUAUAUAGCGCUAUUCUACACCCUAGGUGUAGAAUAUUAUUCUACACCACAAGUUAAAAUUGAGUAGAAAAAAUACUGAGUAGUACUAAAGAGUAUUCAGUAUACAACUUGUGACCACGAAAUAUUGAACAAUACUAAAACACGAAUACUAAGCGAUACUGAACUUUGC
rnacentral:lncRNA from 1 species